UACGGGGGGAGCAAGCGUUGUUCGGAUUUACUGGGCGUAAAGGGCGCGUAGGCGGCCAGCACAAGUCAGUUGUGAAAUCUCCGAGCUUAACUCGGAAAGGUCAACUGAUACUGUGCGGCUAGAGUGCAGAAGGGGCAACUGGAAUUCUUGGUGUAGCGGUGAAAUGCGUAGAUAUCAAGAGGAACACCGGUGGCGAAGGCGGGUCUCUGGGCAACAACUGACGCUGAGGAGCGAAAGCGUGGGGAGCGAACAGG
rnacentral:rRNA from 1 species